rnacentral:rRNA from 1 species
GAGAUACGCGCGAGUGGAGUUCAGACGUGUGCUCUUCCGAUCUCUCAAUAAGUGGAGGAAAAUAAACUAACUAGGAUACUCUUAGUAAGUGCGACCGAAGAGAGUAAAGCUCAAUAAUCUAAACUUUAAAUUUUUAUAAUUUAAAGUCAUGUGAUUUUCUAAACUCAUUGAAAUUUUUAUAAAUUAUGAUUGAAUUCAUAACUAUAAAGAGUUAUAGUCUCGUUAUAUUGAAAUUUCAAGCAUGGGAAUUAGAAUUAAAGAGUCGGGUAGCUUGAGAAUGCUGCCUUAAUAUAGGUGGUACACCCCAUCUAAAGCUAAAUAUUGUAAAGAGACCGAUAGCAUACAAGUAGUGUGAACGAAAGAUGAAAAGAACUCCUAAACGGAGAAUUAAAAGCGCCUGAACUUGUCUAGGUUUUCGCAUUUCUUUAAUGCGCCCGUCUUGAAACACGGAUUAGGGAGUUUUACUUAAAUACGAGUCUUUAACUUUUAAAGUAAUUUUUUUAAAAAAGGCGAAAAGAAAUUAACUGGUUUUUUAACAUGGCUAUAGAGUAUUUAAGUCAAAACCCGAAUGGAGGUGAACUAUUCCUGCAAAGAUUGAAGUCAGGGGAAACUCUGAUGGAAGAUCGUUGGCGUUAUUGAUGUGCAAAUCAUUUGCUUUAUGUAGGUAUAGGUGCGAAAGACUCAUCGAACCUCCUAAUAGCUGGUUUCCUCCGAAGUUUCCCUCAGGAUAGCUGUAACAUUUUUAAAUAGUUAAGGAUAGUAGAGAAAUGGGUAGAGGUGUAGUGGAACUACGGUUCUGCAACUUAUUUCCAAACUUCGAACGUUCUUGAUAUAAAAAAUUACCUAAUAGGAAUUUUUUAUUUAAAUAUAUGUUAUAAGUGGGCUCUGACCGGUAAGCGGUCAUGGCGAAAAGGGAUGAACCUAACGUAUAAAUAAGGUGCCUAAAUUUACUAACAAUGAAACCAUUAAAAGAGUCCAUGUAUUUAGACAGCGGGUCGGUGCCCCUAAAAGCAGGUAUCCGUUAAUGAGUGUGUUAAAACUCCCCCGCCGAAUACUCUGGCCUUGAAAAUGAAUGGCGCAUAUAGUAAUACCGAUAUUAUACAUUAAAAUUAUUUCAAAAUUUUAAAAGUAGGGGGAUGUGGAUAUCUUAGAGAAUUUUUAAUUGUAAAAUUGAAUUGAAAGAUAUCUAUUACAGAUCCUAAUUGAAGUAGCGAUUAUCCAGGUUAAUCUCCUGGGGGCUGAUGAGGAGUAGGGUUUCUGGGCAACUUAAACGGACCCAGAGUUAGUCGAUCCUAAUCAAAUUAAAUUUAGAGAAAGGGAAUAUGAAUGAUAUUUCAUAACUAAAAUUAAUUUUUAAAUGGUGACAUUUUUUUAAACUUAUUUCCAUCAAUUAAAUACUGUUUAAUAGGGAUUUCUUUCCUAUAUAACUUUUUAAUUAAAACUUAAGAAACAGGUUAACUGGAGAAUAAAGUUUUAAUUUAGUAAAAUUAUAAUUUCGAUUAUAAUAACGGCUAUUUAAAUGAUCCAUGAAACAAUAAGUUUAUUUUUUCAAAAAUUAAUUUAAUCGUACCGAUAACCGCAUCAGGUCUCCAAGGUGAGUAGCUUCUGGCCAUUGAGUAAUGGUAAUUUAGGGAAUUCGGCCAAUUAGAGCUGUAACUUCGGGAUAAAGCUUGGCUCUGAUGGAAAUCAGAACCGAUAGUUACAAGGAGAGCCCAACUGUUUAAUAAAAACUUAGUGUCGCGUCAUACCUUUAUAAGUAAUAAACGUGACAUGAAUCCUGCUCAGUGCUGUGUUUGUUAAACUGGAUUAAUCCAUUUAAGCGCCGGUAAAUAGCUGGGGUAACUAUGACUCUUAUCAAAGUAGCGAAAUACCUCGUCACUUAAUUAGUGACCUGCAUGAACGGAGCUAUGAGGUUCUCACUGUCCCAAAUUAUCACUCAGCGAACCAACAGUUGUGGGAACGGGCACAAAUUAUCCAGCGGGGAAAGAAGACCCUGUAGAGCUUCACUUUGGUCUAAUCUUGUAUAGUUUCGUUAGGGGUGCAGUCUAGGUGGGAGAUUUUUAAUCAAAUAUGAGAAACCACUACCCUUUCUGGAAUUAUACUUACUAAAAUUCUUUUCUAAAUUUUAGGAUCGGAUUAGAUAGAAAGUUUGGCUGGGGCGGCACACCUUCGAAAAAGCAGCGAAGGUGUCCUAAGUUAAGCUCAGUAAGGACAGAAAUCUUACGUUGAGGAUAAGGCCAAAAGCUUAAUUUACUGUGCCUUUUUGUACUAGGAUCAGUUUGGAAACAAAGGCCUAACGAUCCCUAAUUAGUCUUAGGUGUGUAAGACUUGGGGUGACAGACAAGUUACCUCCGGGACAACUGGCUUGUGGCUGCUAAGAGAUCAAAUCAACGCAGCUUUUUGAUUCUUCGAUGUCGGCUCUUCCUAUCCUAGUAGAUCGGAAGAGCGUCGU